UAGGAUGACCAACUGUCCUACUUUGCCUGGGACUCAGGGAUUCCUGGGAGUUGGGGUUUUCAGCACUAAAACCGGAAAGCCCUGGGCAAACCAGGAUGGUUGGUGACCCUGCCCGUCC
rnacentral:miRNA from 1 species